rnacentral:rRNA from 1 species
GCGGAGGAAAAGAAACUAACAAGGAUUCCCCUAGUAACUGCGAGUGAAGCGGGAAAAGCUCAAAUUUAAAAUCUGGCGGUCUCAGGCUGUCCGAAUUGUAAUCUAGAGAAGUGUUAUCCGCGCUGGACCGUGUACAAGUCUCCUGGAAUGGAGCGUCAUAGAGGGUGAGAAUCCCGUCUUUGACACGGACUCCCAGGGCUUUGUGAUGCGCUCUCAAAGAGUCGAGUUGUUUGGGAAUGCAGCUCAAAAUGGGUGGUAAAUUCCAUCUAAAGCUAAAUAUUGGCGAGAGACCGAUAGCGAACAAGUACCGUGAGGGAAAGAUGAAAAGAACUUUGGAAAGAGAGUUAAACAGUACGUGAAAUUGCUGAAAGGGAAACGCUUGAAGUCAGUCGCGUUGUCCAGAAAUCAACCUUGUUUUACUGGGUGACUUUCUGGUUAACGGGUCAACAUCAAUUUUGAUUGUUGGAAAAAGAUUAAANGAAUGUGGCAUCUUUGGAUGUGUUAUAGCCUUUGGUUGGAUACAACAAUUGGGAUUGAGGAUCUCAGCACGCCGCAAGGCCGGGUUUUUACCACGAUCGUGCUUAGGAUGUUGGCAUAAUGGCUUUAAUCGACCCGUCUUGAAACACGGACCAAGGAGUCUAACAUGCCUGCGAGUG